CAUUAUUAUAUUUUAUUAUUUGUUUUAGAUAAAAUUAGUGCAAUGAAAGUUGCCAUGAUAUCCGUCUUUAUCUGCAUGAUAACGGGUGCUAUAGCAAGUGGAUUCUGUAGCUUCCCGUGUAACCUCCGAGGUAGAAGCUACAAGUCCAAACUAUUUCCAGACAUACUUUCUGAGUUCCUUGCCGACGAUCCAACUGGUUAUAACUUGACCUUCACCAGUACCGGAACUGUAUAUACAGGAUACUGUUAUGCUCGCGCAGGAGAAUUCUAUGCUUUGAGGCGACGUAUGGAUAAUAAAUGGCAAUACAGUUGUGCAAAGGAUAUGCUCCUUGAUACAAACUAUGACGCCUUUCUAUAUUACAUUACACCCUGGGAAAAUUUUCCUCCAUCGCCAACUAUCUGUGAUGUAUGUAAAGGUUCAGGCUUUUUCCCUGAGGAUUUGAAAG